UCAGGACGAACGCUGGCGGCGUGCCUAACACAUGCAAGUCGAGCGGGGACAUACGACGGAUCGGAAGUUUCGGAUGGAAGAGAAGAUGUAUGUUCUAGCGGCGGACGGGUGAGUAACGCGUGAGCAACCUGUCCUUCACAGGGGGAUAACACAGCGAAAGUUGUACUAAUACCGCAUGAGACCACACUGGGACAUCCCAGAGGGGUCAAAGGAGCAAUCCGGUGAAGGGUGGGCUCGCGUCCGAUUAGAUAGUUGGUGAGGUAACGGCCCACCAAGUCGACGAUCGGUAGCCGACCUGAGAGGGUGAUCGGCCACAUUGGGACUGAGACACGGCCCAAACUCCUACGGGAGGCAGCAGUGGGGAAUAUUGGGCAAUGGGGGAAACCCUGAACCCCCAGCAACGCCGCGUGAGGGAAGAAGGUUUUCGGAUCGUAAACCUCUGUCCUUGGUGAAGAGUGAGAGACGGUAGCCAAGGAGGAAGCCCCGGCUAACUACGUGCCAGCAGCUGC
rnacentral:rRNA from 1 species